rnacentral:pre_miRNA from 1 species
GAGGUACUCCCUCUGUUCGGAAUUACUUGUCGCAGAAAUGGAUGUAUCUAGACGUAUUUUAAUUCUAGAUACAUCCAUUUUCGAGACAAGUAAUUCCGAACGGAGAGAGUACAUG